GUGAUAUGUGCGCAUGCUUAAACAUCAGAACUGUUGGAUACUGACGAUAGAAAACAUGACAUCCAUCCAUACAUUUGUAUGAUAUGAUCGAAGACAUCCUAUCCUACAACUUGAUUUAGAUCAGUAAAAACUUAGAUAAAACUGCAUAAAUUGUAUAUGAAUAGUGUAAGAAAAGAUCAAUUAAGCUUUUGAUAUUUUUCUAAACUGUCCUGCAUCACAGCUUUUGAGGGUUCAUGUCCUGUUUGCUGUGUGAAUGUAUUGUGGGAUGCGCAAGAAAUCAGAAACUAGAAUAUGAUAUUGCUUCAGAAUUUCUGAAUGGGCCCCACACUAUUACUAGUUGCUUGUUUUUUAGUCCAAAUGUUGCCGCACAGAUCCAUCUUUCCAUUCCCAAUUUCAGACCUUUGCCACGGAAAUCUGUCUUUCCAUUUUCAAUUUCAAUUCAACCUAUUAAAUGGUCAUGAAAAGUCUCUUUGGCAGUCAUUGGCUCCGAUUGGUCGAUUUUUCUAUCAUCCUAUUUCAAAUUCAUGAUUUCAGAUCUCUUAUUACAAUCUGCCAGCUAUUUGGACUCUGCUUGAUGCUUUUGAAUCUCUGUUCCUUGAAGAAAUUGCAAGAUUACUUGCAGUUGAGUUUGUUUUGCCUGUGCAGUCAAUGAAAGCAAUUGGCUGCUGCUGCCGCAUUUGUUGCCCAACCGAUCCCAGUUGCUGAGAUGGUCCGGUGAUCUGAGCCAUCCAUGUAUUCUGGGUAUUAUGGUCCAAUAAUCACGAUUCAGAAAUGAUAUUAUCCUUGGAUUUUUAGUUGAA